UACGGAGGGUGCAAGCGUUAUCCGGAUUCACUGGGUUUAAAGGGUGCGUAGGUGGGUUGGUAAGUCAGUGGUGAAAUCUCCGAGCUUAACUUGGAAACUGCCAUUGAUACUAUCAGUCUUGAAUAUUGUGGAGGUCAGCGGAAUAUGUCAUGUAGCGGUGAAAUGCUUAGAUAUGACAUAGAACACCCAUUGCGAAGGCAGCUAACUACGCGAUAAUUGACGCUGAUGCACGAAAGCGUGGGGAUCAAACAGG
rnacentral:rRNA from 1 species